GAUGAACGCUAGCGGCAGGCUUAACACAUGCAAGUCGUGGGGCAGCGCGAGGUAGCAAUACUUUGGCGGCGACCGGCAAACGGGUGCGGAACACGUACGCAACCUUCCUCAAAGCGGGGGAUAGCCUCUCGAAAGAGAGAUUAAUACCCCAUAGUAUCGUCAGAUGGCAUCUGAAGACGAUUAAAGCUCCGGCACUUUGAGAUGGGCGUGCGGCUGAUUAGGUAGUUGGUAGGGUAACGGCCUACCAAGCCGACGAUCAGUAGCUGAUGUGAGAGCAUGAUCAGCCACACGGGCACUGAGACACGGGCCCGACUCCUACGGGAGGCAGCAGUGAGGAAUAUUGGUCAAUGGAGGCAACUCUGAACCAGCCAUGCCGCGUGAAGGAUGAAGGUCCUCUGGAUUGUAAACUUCUUUUAUAGAAGAAGAAACCCCAUUUUUCUAAGUGGGUUGACGGUACUCUAUGAAUAAGCACCGGCUAACUCCGUGCCAGCCGCCGCAGUAAAAC
rnacentral:rRNA from 1 species